CCUACGGGAGGCUGCAGUGAGGAAUAUUGGUCAAUGGACGAGAGUCUGAACCAGCCAAGUAGCGUGAAGGAUGACUGCCCUAUGGGUUGUAAACUUCUUUUAUAUGGGAAUAAAACGUUCCACGUGUGGGAUUUUGUAUGUACCAUAUGAAUAAGGAUCGGCUAACUCCGUGCCAGCAGCCGCGGUAAUACGGAGGAUCCGAGCGUUAUCCGGAUUUAUUGGGUUUAAAGGGAGCGUAGGUGGAUUGUUAAGUCAGUUGUGAAAGUUUGCGGCUCAACCGUAAAAUUGCAGUUGAAACUGGCAGUCUUGAGUACAGUAGAGGUGGGCGGAAUUCGUGGUGUAGCGGUGAAAUGCUUAGAUAUCACGAAGAACUCCGAUUGCGAAGGCAGUUCACUGAACUGCAACUGACACUGAGGCUCGAAAGUGUGGGUAUCAAACAGGAUUAGAUACCCUAGUAGUC
rnacentral:rRNA from 1 species